rnacentral:rRNA from 1 species
UACGUAGGGUGCGAGCGUUAAUCGGAAUUACUGGGCGUAAAGCGUGCGCAGGCGGUUUGCUAAGACCGAUGUGAAAUCCCCGGGCUUAACCUGGGAACUGCAUUGGUGACUGGCAAGCUAGAGUGUGGCAGAGGGGGGUAGAAUUCCACGUGUAGCAGUGAAAUGCGUAGAGAUGUGGAGGAAUACCGAUGGCGAAGGCAGCCCCCUGGGAUAACACUGACGCUCAUGCACGAAAGCGUGGGGAGCAAACAGG